UGACUUGGUUUAACCUUUCUAGAUUAUGUAACUGAAUAAAGGAACUUUCUGAUAUGUGUAUUUGUAGAAUUUAUAGAUGUUCGAUGUGAAAUAUUGGUGGCCAAAAGUUUGUUAUGGUCAGGUCGAUCUAAAUAUUAUGUUCAUCUGUCUACACCUCCUGCUGUGGUAUCCACUUGCUCGUGUACUGGUCACCUCCUCAUUGUAGAUGCUCACAAGUGCUUCUGCUUGUUGAAAAUGCCUGAGAAUAUAUAUAUAUAUAUAUAUAUAUAUAUAUAUACAUUGCUGGACUGCUGGUUCAGGACUAAUUUAUUAUAGGCAAACUUGCACACAUCUGCUAUUCUACCCAGGAUUAAUUCAUCCUAGCAAAAGAAAUCACAUCAUGAGCAAAAGAAUGAAUUCGCUACUAACAUUUCAAAUCAAGAUUUAUCCAUCUAGCAGUCCUAUAAUAUAUUUCUCUUCUCAUUAUUGCAGCAUCCUUUUAUGUACCAACAAUGUGACACUACACUACAAUAGAUUUUCACAGGCCAUGGAAAAAUAAUAAAGAAUUUGACAAUCGGUAGCCUCCAGUCUAUAAUUAUAAUUCUGCGCGGACUUUGGAGCUAUUGGAUGCCUGAAUGUGUCGUGUUCCUCCAUUGUGCCAUGUUAAGAAUUGUAGCUUGAUAGGAGGGAAAUAGUUAAUCAGGUUGUAUAGAGUUGCUAUCAUACCAUUUCUUUGUGAAUGCAUGGUUUCACUAUCAUUUUUCUUAAAGUAUAUUAGCCUCUUGUUCUUGGAAGUAUGGAUUUUCAUUCUAUACCUGAGGUCUAACCAGUCCUAUAGUUUUUUUGGUUUUGUUUCUUGACCUGCUGUUUCCUUUACUGAUCCUUCUUGCUCAUAUAAACAGGCCCACACUUGGAAUGAUUAGAAAUGUUUCAUUUGUUGCAGCAGUUAUUUUUUCAUUGUCAAGGUUUCUUCAGUUAGUCUCCUCUGGUUAUUUUUCUUCUACAGUGUGCUAUGCGAUUCUUGCCAAUGGGCCUCCCAUUGCUUAUAUCCUAUCAGUAGCACCAUGCCUCCCUGUCGCCCUAUUUGUCAAAAGCUCAGUACAACCAGUAGCGAGGUGCCUCCCCGUCAUGUUGUUCAUCGAAAGCAUUCUUAAUACGAAAGCAUAUAAUGCUCAGUAAAAACAACCUUAAGUUGAUGACCACUUGGUAUUGUUACAAUGCUUCGAUCCGUUAAUACUCCAUCUGUUAUGAAGGUUAUGUGCAGUGUGUCCGUGCCAUUAAGGAAUUUAAUAUUUCUUUGAACUUCUGGCCCAGAGAUCUACAUUGUGCGUUUUGACCUCGCUGUUGUUUUUCGGGGGCGAAUGACUGGUGGGCUCGUGCUUUUUGUCUACUGGCUGGGUGAGCCGUUUGGAAGUGCGGGAGAAGCCUGUUCUUGCGCGCGGCGUGCACGUCGCGCGUUUGGCGCCGGGCAUUGGGUUGUUUGUUUCUGCUGUGAGGAUGCCGAUGGAUGUCUAUUUCUCUGACUAUUGGGUGGUCCUUACUCAUUUCUGGCCCCACACAUCUGUGGGUUGACUACCUUUUGUCUGCGUGAGAGAGGGGCUGCACUGACACUGCGUCGAUCGUGCGAGGGUUUGCCCAGCCGCGCCGCACGCGCCGUGCGUGGGACAUGCGUCCUGCGGCUGGUGUGGACGUUCGCUCCUGCUGCAUAACCUAUGGUAGGUGGGGCUUGUUUUCUGCUGGUCCUACACGUCUGUCCCUUGUUUAGAUUGGAGUGAGACUGUGAAGGUUGUGUUUCUUCUGACACGGAGAGAGGGGUCGUGCGAGUCUCAUCCCAUCUCCCUCCUCCUUCGUCUCCACAGCCGUGAAAAAAUCCCCUCCGCCGUCUCCUCCUCUCUCUUCCACCUCCCUCCUCCUUCCCCGGCUCUCCGCCCCACAUCGGGAGUAGCUAGGAUGCUAGGAUGAAGAAAGUAGGAGACGGUAUCGGGUCAAAUGAUCCAGCGGUGGCAGCAAGAGGCAGUCCAUGAUGAAUCUCUGGUAUUGGAAGUUUUGGGUUCCUUGGAAUUAUUGGUGCUUAUCUACAAAGUUGAUUAUGCUUAUCAUUCUUGAUUUUCUGAUUCUCAGUCAGAACAAUACCCUUGAUAACUACACGGUGGAUGCUAUUCAUUAUGUAAAGUGAGCUUCUAUGACUUGGUUUAACCUUUCUAGGUUAUGUAACUGAAUAAAAGAACUUUCUGAUAUGUGUAUUUGUAGAAUUUGCUGAUGUUUGAUGCGAAAUAUUGGUGGCCAAAAGUUUGUUAUGGUCAGGUCGAUCUGAAUAUUGUGUUCAUCUGUCUA